AAAAAUCAAUAUAAAAAUAUUGUUUAUAAGAUAAAAUCAAAUUCAUUUUACAUUUUUACUACGAAUAAAUUUAUUAAAGAUCACAAUUUUGCAAUGGCAAUACUAUGUGAUGUAUCGAAGUUUUUAAACUAAACGUUAGAAAACUUGAAAUAUUUCUUGUCGAGUUUGUUCUAUGUGUUGUGUGUGCGUUGUUUUCUCUGCUUUGAUAUAGAUUUUUCACUUUUAUUUUGACCUUGGCGCGCUUAACGGACCCUGAUAGUGCUUCUUUUAUUGUUAUUUGGCUAUUUUUUACGGACACAGUCUCAUACUCUUCACUUGACAAACCCCGGCAACAUUUUUAGGCUGAUGAUGGCGAAGAUACCGAAAAGCCCACGAUCUAACUGUUAUUUCGGGUGUAAUGCAGAAGGUCCUCUGCAUCAUUUCCAUAAGCCUGAAAAAGAUGUAGAAAGGUUUGAAAUCUGGAAAGCAGUGUUAGAGAAUGACACCACAGAGAAAGGAAAUAUGUAUAUCUAUAACCAAUUAAGGUUAUGUAAUAAACAAUUUUGAAAAUUAUUACAUAUUACCAAGCAACAGGCUAACAAGAAAUGCUAUUCCAACUCUGUAUAUUAAGAAAGAUGAUAUGUCUAUUUGUGCAUCAACAUCCACAGAAAAAUCUAUUGAGACAGGUACUGCAAUUUUGACGGAUAAGGCUACUAAAAAAAGCAUAAAGCAAAAAUGUUUUUCAGAAAGCAGAAUCUUACCAGCGGAGUGUGAAGACACUGCUGAUCUACUACUCGUCUUUGACAAAUUAUAUGACUCUUUUAAUGGCCACCCAUACCGUGAUACGGCUAAAGUUCUCAGGGGGUGUCGAAUUCGUUUGAAAUCGAAAUCGAAUUUCAUUUGAAAGGGUGGUAAAAUAUCGUGAUGGCACAGAACGAAUUAUGUAUGAAAAAGUGCUAUUUGUUCAAAAUUGGAUACACAACAUAAAUACCUUUAAGGAAAUGUGGAAAUAUAUAAAUGAACAAUUUAAAAUCACAAAACAUAUUAACCAGAAAUUUUAAUCAAGAUCCCCUCGAGAAUUUCCUUUGCUGUAUCCGAAGUAAUGGAAUCAGAAAUGUUAAACCCACAUGCAUGCAAUUUAUGAACGCCUACAAGACACUGUUGAUUAAUAAUAUGAAUUCAUCUCAUUCCAUUAGUGCUGAUUGUGAAAAAGAUGACUAUCAACCGCUAGUCAAUGAAAUUUUUAUUAUCAGAGAAAUGUGAUUCUUUAGAUCCUCCUGAAUUUGCAUGUGAAGUUGAUUCUUUGAUUACCACAAUGCAUGAAAUUAAAUCUACUGACUCAAUUUUGCACGAGGAAGCAAAAAAAUAUGUCGCAGGCCAUGUAAUCAAAAAAAGCAAAAAUAAAAUAUUUAAAAAUUG